rnacentral:rRNA from 1 species
AUUGAACGCUGGCGGCAGGCCUAACACAUGCAAGUCGAGCGGCAGCGGGAAAGUAGCUUGCUACUUUUGCCGGCGAGCGGCGGACGGGUGAGUAAUGCCUGGGGAUCUGCCCAGUCGAGGGGGAUAACUACUGGAAACGGUAGCUAAUACCGCAUACGCCCUACGGGGGAAAGCAGGGGACCUUCGGGCCUUGCGCGAUUGGAUGAACCCAGGUGGGAUUAGCUAGUUGGUGAGGUAAUGGCUCACCAAGGCGACGAUCCCUAGCUGGUCUGAGAGGAUGAUCAGCCACACUGGAACGGAGACACGGUCCAGACUCCUACGGGAGGCAGCAGUGGGGAAUAUUGCACAAUGGGGGAAACCCUGAUGCAGCCAUGCCGCGUGUGUGAAGAAGGCCUUCGGGUUGUAAAGCACUUUCAGCGAGGAGGAAAGGUUGGUAGCUAAUAACUGCCAGCUGUGACGUUACUCGCAGAAGAAGCACCGGCUAACUCCGUGCCAGCCGCCGCAGUAAGAC